UCUGGCUGUGAUGACACACUUGCCCUCACUGAUAUGUCUUGAUUGAGACAAUUUAUUGUUCUGAGCCACA